UCAACGCGCGAGCUUUCUUGUUUUACCAAAUGACGCCAUUUUUUAACGUUAAAACUAAAAGAAAUUGGAUGGCAAUCUGCUAUUUUCUUUAAACAAUGAAAGCAAAUCCCUAAUUCUCUCGUUCUUUAACCGAUUCUCAAAUACCAAACCCUAGCCACUUCAAAAACAAAGAAAAUUCCCACUUUCACUAUUCGGCUGAUUAACACUCUAAAAUCCCCAUCUCAGGCUUCGAUUUCGAAGGAGAUAAGGACUCCGAUGGCUCGUUUUCGAAGUGUGGAGAAAUGGCAGUACAGAAGAAGCCGCUCGUGGAAGCCGUGCGUGGGAACUACUAGUGGGAUCGAUCUGUUGUUGCUUUAGCACAUUCGAGAAACCCCUAGAGUUUCUGGUGUUUUCACAUUAUUGGACUCCUUUGGGCCGUUUAUUAAUUGGGUGUAAUGGGUUUUGUUGGGCCAGGGAUUAAGUUGGGGUUUGGGUUGUUUGGGUUAGGUUUAAUUUAGGUUUAUUUAGAGUUGUUUAAUGGAGCAUAAAUUUGGACUUUGGGCUUUAUUAUUAUUAUUAUUAUUUUAUAUAUUUUGAUUUGCUUUUUUUUAUUUUUUUGUAUAAACCCAGAUAAAAAUUGGGCCUUACACAUUCUACUCCAUAUGAACGAUGUAAACAAACACUAUAAGGCACAUACAUAUUUAGGAGAA